rnacentral:lncRNA from 1 species
GCUGAUGGCAGAGCUGAGUCCCGAGAGCUCAGCCCUGAGCUGCCUUUCAUCUGGUCACCGUGUUCAGGGGUUCUUCUCCGUGUAAAUAAACAUCUGCGAUGAAAACCUCCACAGGUCUCAUCAGCAAAGAGGAAGAUCUAUUAAGGAUCUAGUGAGUAAAUGACACUUUUGGAAUGUUUAGAACUUCGAGGGGGAAACCACAUGUUUUCACAUCCCACUAUAUCAUUUCCAUAAGGAUGAGGCAAAGCACUACCCCUAUUUGCAGAAGAGAGACUGCCGUGAAGUCAGUGGACACUAUCUCCAGGUCAGAAUCCAACCUAAAGGCCUUUAAUCAAUGCCUCCUGUCUUUCAGCAGGGCAGAUGCCUCCCAGAAGGAAACCAGAUGCCAGGACUGUGGGGGACUCUUGAGCAGCAUCAGCCAAACUGUAGGAGCUGAGAAGAGGAAGCUUUGCUCAGGGUAAGCGCCCUGGGAUAAUGUCUUUAAUGUCAAGAGGAUGCACGCUGUGAACGUGGAAAGCCCUCCAGGCUGAAAGAGGGAAUAACACAGGCGGGGAGUGUUGCCAAGCAUUUGCGAGCACUCUGUUCGGUGGACAGACAGCCGGCUUGCUCAUGAUUCCGCCUUCUCUGUUAUUGGCAACAAGCCGUCACUGGAACUUUGUAUCCUUAAGCUUUGAGGCCUUGACUCAGGUGGGGGUCCCGGAAUAAGCUCAUGAAGUUUUUGCCUCGUUACCCCCAGGCUCCAAAUCACUGGUACAAAUUUCUCAGUCUGAUUUAAUGCUUAGGGAAAUGUCGUAUUUUUGGAUCCUUCAUUUUAAAAAAACAUAUAUAUUUACCAGUGCUAUCUCCGCCAAUUCCGAAUAAACCUUAGACUUCAGAUCAUGA